ACAGGUGUGGCUCAAGUGGUAGAGCAUGAGCCUUUGAUAGAAAAGCCAAGUGGGAGCUCAAGGCCCUGAAUUCAAGCUCCAGUACCAGCA
rnacentral:tRNA from 1 species